rnacentral:rRNA from 1 species
UACGGGGGGGGCAAGCGUUGUUCGGAAUUACUGGGCGUAAAGGGCUCGUAGGUGGCCAACUAAGUCAGACGUGAAAUCCCUCAGCUUAACUGGGGAACUGCGUCUGGUACUGGAUGGCUUGAGUUUGGGAGAGGGAUGCGGAAUUCCAGGUGUAGCGGUGAAAUGCGUAGAUAUCUGGAGGAACACCGGUGGCGAAGGCGGCAUCCUGGACCAAUACUGACACUGAGGAGCGAAAGCCAGGGGAGCAAACGGG